ACACUCAAAAUUUAUUGCAAGUGAGCCAGGAGCCAGGAGUCCAGCCGUACCCAGGUAGGAGACACCGUUGACACCAUUAUCAUCACCAUACCUAGACUUUAUAGGCAAUCACACCACUUUGGCAUUCCUAACCUGGGACGU